GUAAGGAAUAUUGGACAAUGGACGCAAGUCUGAUCCAGCCAUGCCGCGUGAAGGAUUAAGGUCCUCUGGAUUGUAAACUUCUUUUAUAAGGGACGAAAAAAGGCUUUUCUAAGUCGUCUGACGGUACCUUAUGAAUAAGCACCGGCUAACUCCGUGCCAGCAGCCGCGGUAAUACGGAGGGUGCAAGCGUUAUCCGGAUUCACUGGGUUUAAAGGGUGCGUAGGCGGGCAGGUAAGUCAGUGGUGAAAUCCUAGAGCUUAACUCUAGAACUGCCAUUGAUACUAUCUGUCUUGAAUAUUGUGGAGGUAAGCGGAAUAUGUCAUGUAGCGGUGAAAUGCUUAGAUAUGGCAUAGAACACCUAUUGCGAAGGCAGCUUACUACGCAUAUAUUGACGCUGAGGCACGAAAGCGUGGGGAUCAAACAGGAUUAGAAACCCUGGUAGUCC
rnacentral:rRNA from 1 species